UAGCAGGGAGCCACACACAGAAUAAAGGUAAAGGGUUGGAGCAGAAUCUGUUAUGCUUCAGCUAAUGUUUUUAUAUUCAUAUCCCUUCUGUAUAACUUUACCUGUCAUAGAAUCAUAUUUUCAAAGUUGGAAGGUAACUUUGAGUUCAUCUAGUUCAAUAUAUUUUACAGUUUAGAAUCUUGUGUCUCAGUGAGGAUAAGAGCUUAUCAUGAUGUCUAUAGGUAGAAAUGUCAAAGCUAGAAUUUGAACCCAGGUUUUUGUAUGCAUGAAAAUCUGCUUGGUACCAUAGCUUCUUUAUUUUUGUUGAGGGCAGAGCAUAGUUCUAGUCAUCUAGACUUGAAAAUGUAGUUAUCUAUGAGUCUUUUCCCUUUCUCACAUAUAUUAAUUUGCUAAGACCUUGUAAAUUUUAUCCAUCAAAUAAUUCUAGCAUUUCUGCUCUCACCUGUGUGAUCGAGAGAAAUGGACAAAGACAGAAGAAAAGAGAUGAAAUGCAAGGAAGAUGAGCUCAGGAAGACCAGAUGGAAUUCUCCAGACCCAGUGAGGGAGGGGAGAAUUCCAUAGAAGGUUCAAGAGGAGAGGCAGUUAGCCAGAACUGUGGUCUGGUCUGGUCACUUCACCACUUGACUUUUCCUUCUUCUCUGGCCAACCCCUCUGAAGGAGGAAGGCUGAAGAAGUGCUUGGCUUUUACCCUCCUUUACCAGGCUGAACUGAAAGAGUCUUGCCCAGUGAAGAUCCCAGCUGAUAGAUAACUGAUUUUCCCUCAGGGAAAGUCAACCUUAUUUUCUUUGAAGAGAAUUUGAAUUGAAGCCUUCAACUAAAGAUAGAGAAGGCAGAAUUUGAGUUGGUGUGAAGCCAGAAGGUGGAGAUGGAGACAGGCAGCUAUAAAUUUCAGACUGAGUGGGGGACCAUCAGGGGAAUGACAAUCUACUUCAGGAUGCUGGGCCGAAGAUUCACACCAGUUUACCUAUAUGUUUCUAACUGAAUGAAGCCCAGGUUAGGAAGAAGUCUGAUAUAUUAUUCUAUUCACCAUUAUAUGUUAAAGGAGUCUAUAAAUUUUCAGCAUUGUACCACAUAUAACACAAUGAAAUUUAUUUUGAACUAUUAUUAAAGUUCAAAACUACAAUAAUGAAUUGUUUUAAAUAUAAAUUAUUUUGAAAAUAGAA